UUUCCCAGUUAGAAUCCCCUCUUGCUAUGGUGCCGGUUAGAACACGAAAAACAUUCACAAUACUGGGUCCUGGUGGACAUCCAUCUCUUACUACACCCCAGCAUUUCCGAAUUUUUUCCCAGUAGACAUGACAUCCACUCUCCACAGACAAGGAACAAAUGGUUGAGAAAGGUAGAAUCCAAACUUUAUUGAACUUGCACUUUGAAAAUAUACAAAUACAUAUCUAUGCAUCUCAAAAGUAGUUGGCCAUAUAUGAAGUAGCAUAAUGAGUUAUCUGCGAUGACAUUUGUGGUAGUGGUGGGUGCUCGUGAAUUUUGUGGCCAUCCUGCAUAUAAAGCAUAACAUUUUUGGUCAUUUCAUUUUUGCUCCAUGCCCUUUUACUAUUUCUAUUGGAAAUGUUUUAAAUGAGCAUCUUUGAGCUCAAUACUAGUUAAGAAUUUUGAUUUAAGUGUUUUUUGGAAACCUUUGUCCCAUAUAAAAACUACUGGGAAAAUGUUUGGUUUUAUAAGGCUUAAGUAUGGGAUUUGGGGUUUGACCCUAAAGGGUACCUAAUUUUGUGGAAAGAGUGAAUAUUACCUAUUUUCGGUGUUGUGAGAUUGCUAAUAUUAUAUUGCUUAGUGUAAUGAAAUCGUAUUGUAAUUAACCUGCUUCCGGUACUGUAUUUCCCUUUUUUUCUAAUAUUGAACAUAUGGCUUUGUUGAUUUUGAUGUAGGAAAAGAAAUAACAGAAGUAUUGGAUGAUGAAGUAUUUGUAGAAUCCAAUGAUGAGAACUUGAUGUACAAUGUAAUUAGAUUAGAAGAUGAUAAUGUAGGAGGGGAUGCUACGAUUUGCCGGAGGUGAGUAAUCACAUUCCAACCACUGACGCCACGCUCUCAAAGUGCCGUAGAAAGUUGGAUGUACGGUGCCUCCCAGUCAUCAAUAGGACCGUUAUUCACGCCUACUAGUGAACAUCAAUACGUGGUUGUCUCAUGCAAUGCAAACACUUAGAGUUAUUUUUUUUCUCUGGUUUGGUUUAAGAUGUGACGAUUUUCAGAUUGUAAUGAAUGAUGUACAUCAAGCUAUUUUGUCAGCUUUGUUCAAAUUGGAUUCUUGAGUGAUGCAUUUGUAC
rnacentral:lncRNA from 1 species